UUGGAGGGCAAGUCUGGUGCCAGCAGCCGCGGUAAUUCCAGCUCCAAUAGCGUAUAUUAAAGUUGUUGCAGUUAAAAAGCUCGUAGUUGAAUUUCGGGAUCAAUAUUUCGGUCAUGCCGUUGGUAUGCACUGUUAUCAUUGAUUUCUCACCUUCUAAAGAACCGUGAUGCCAUUAAUUUGGUGUUACGGGGAAUUAGGACUGUUACCUUGAAAAAAUUAGAGUGUUUAAAGCAGGCUCACGCUUGAAUACAUUAGCAUGGAAUAAUGAAAUAGGACAUCCGAUUCUAUUUUGUUGGUUUCUAGGAUCGAUGUAAUGAUUAAUAGGGAUAGUUGGGGGCAUUAGUAUUCAAUUGUCAGAGGUGAAAUUCUUGGAUUUAUUGAAGACUAACUACUGCGAAAGCAUUUGCCAAGGAUGUUUUCAUUAAUCAAGAACGAAAGUUAGGGGAUCGAAGACGAUCAGAUACCGUCGUAGUCUUAACCAUAAACUAUGCCGACUAGGGAUCGGAUGAUGUUAAUUUUUUAAUGACUCAUUCGGCGCCUUACGGGAAAC
rnacentral:rRNA from 3 species